CGGACGGGUGAGUAAUGCCUAGGAAUCUGCCUGGUAGUGGGGGACAACGUUUCGAAAGGAACGCUAAUACCGCAUACGUCCUACGGGAGAAAGCAGGGGACCUUCGGGCCUUGCGCUAUCAGAUGAGCCUAUGUCGGAUUAGCUAGUUGGUGGGGUAAUGGCUCACCAAGGCGACGAUCCGUAACUGGUCUGAGAGGAUGAUCAGUCACACUGGAACUGAGACACAGUCCAGACUCCUACGGGAGGCAGCAGUGGGGAAUAUUGGACAAUGGGCGAAAGCCUGAUCCAGCCAUGCCGCGUGUGUGAAGAAGGUCUUCGGAUUGUAAAGCACUUUAAGUUGGGAGGAAGGGCAGUAAGUUAAUACCUUGCUGUUUUGACGUUACCGACAGAAUAAGCACCGGCUAACUCUGUGCCAGCAGCCGCGGUAAUACAGAGGGUGCAAGCGUUAAUCGGAAUUACUGGGCGUAAAGCGCGCGUAGGUGGUUCGUUAAGUUGGAUGUGAAAUCCCCGGGCUCAACCUGGGAACUGCAUUCUAAACUGGCAAGCUAGAGUACGGUAGAGGGUGGUGGAAUUUCCUGUGUAGCGGUGAAAUGCGUAGAUAUAGGAAGGAACACCAGUGGCGAAGGCGACCACCUGGACUGAUACUGACACUGAGGUGCAAAAGCGUGGGGAGCAAACAGGAUUAGAUACCCUG
rnacentral:rRNA from 1 species